rnacentral:rRNA from 1 species
UAGGAUUCCCUUAGUAGCGGCGAGCGAACAGGGAAGAGCCCAGCACCGAAUCCCGCGCCUUUAACGAGGCGCCGGGAAAUGUGGUGUUAGGGAGCGUCCGCAAUCCGGCGGUCGCGCCGUCAGUCCAAGUCCUUCUUGAACGGGGCCACUUACCCACAGAGGGUGCCAGGCCCGUAGCGACGACGGCCGUCAGCCGGUGGACGUCUCCUAAGAGUCGGGUUGCUUGAGAGUGCAGCCCCAAGCGGGUGGUAAACUCCAUCUAAGGCUAAAUAUGACCACGAGACCGAUAGCGAACAAGUACCGUGAGGGAAAGUUGAAAAGAACUUUGAAGAGAGAGUUCAAUAGUACGUGAAACCGUUCAGGGGUAAACCUGAGAAGCCCGAAAGGUCGAAGGGGGAGAUUCAGCGCGUCUCGCAGGUGACGGAGUUGUCGUGCGCCACGAAUUCCCUACGGGGCGGACGGGUCUCGACGCUUCUUAUGUCAUCGACGAACGCGUGCACUUCUCCCCUUGUAGGACGUUGCGACCCGUCGGGUGCCGGUCUAAGGGGCGCGACGGAGCCCGGACGGUUGAGGUUUUACGACCUCGUCGUCCGGACUCGCGCUACACCCGGCCGGCUCGCUCGACGGUACGACCUAGGCGCGGGACCGCGACCAGUUCGCGUCCGUUUUCGUCGCAAGCGACGUGCUGUAACCCGCGAGCCGGACCUAGUGCCGGCCGCGGGCCAGCACCGCUGCUGGCGACGGAGCUCUCGGACAGAUCCCGAAUCGCCGGUCGGCGACGCUUUUUGAUUUGGGUACUUUCAGGACNNNNNNNNNNNNNNNNNNNNNNNNNNNNAGCAUGUGCGCGAGUCAUUGGGACAUUAUUAAACCUAAGGGCGUAAUGAAAGUAAAGGUUUCCCUUGCGUAGACCGAGGGAGGAUGAGUGGUUUGCCUUUAAAGUGGCCAUUCCGCACUCCCGGGGCGUCUCGUUCUCAUUGCGAGAAGAGGCGCACCAAGAGCGUACACGCUGGGACCCGAAAGAUGGUGAACUAUGCCUGGUCAGGACGAAGUCAGGGGAAACCCUGAUGGAGGUCCGUAGCGAUUCUGACGUGCAAAUCGAUCGUCGGAACUGGGUAUAGGGGCGAAAGACUAAUCGAACCAUCUAGUAGCUGGUUCCCUCCGAAGUUUCCCUCAGGAUAGCUGGCGCUCGUUGCGUACGAGUUUCAUCCGGUAAAGCGAAUGAUUAGAGGCAUUGGGGUCGAAACGACCUCAACCUAUUCUCAAACUUUAAAUGGGUGAGAUCUCCGGCUUGCUCGAAAUAUUUGUGUGAAGCCGUGAGACUCGAAUCAGAG